GAUAUGUUUUUUCAUUGAAGCUGCUGAUAUUUUUUUUGUUGAUACCAAUCUUUAAAAUUGAGUAUAUUUGUGCUGAAAAAUAUUGUGUUGUCUGAGAGGAAAAGCAACUAAUAGCAUUUAAACCAUCACAGGAAAUUAAAACUCCACACUGAAACAGAACCAAAUGGAACUCUUAUAGUGGACAGAGCCCUUUUACCAGCUUUGACUCCACCAGUAUUUUAAAUUAAUUCAGUGGAGGGGCAUAACACGUGCUGAAUUUGUUAAAUACGCGUUAUCAUUGUUUUAAAUAAAAUGUGUUGUUUUAUAAAGAGAUUUAAUUCUGAAUCCCACUGUUGUAGACGCACGAAUAGCUGUAACUUCCACGAUAAUUACUCAGUUGCAAUGGCUUCAGUGCAUUUGUACUACAGCAUAGCACGUGUAACAUAACAACACAACUCUGCUCCAGCCUAUCCUGUCAGAACAACACUGGUGUGACUCCUGCGGCAUCUUCACAUUUAAAGUAUGUAACUGCUGUGAUCCACAAUGAUUGACUUUCUUCAUAUAGCAGGUGCGUCACAGGAAAUGCUAUUAGUUUGUGAAGGAAAAGCAAAUAGAGAGCUGUAAAAUGAAACUCUUUUUCCCUCACUAAUGUAAUCAUGCGCCUUAUUUGCACAGGAUUUUAAUAUGAAACACUGCCGAACAGACGCUUUUCUUUUCUUUUCUUUUCGUUUCUUUUCGUUUCGACAACAAAUCUUUUGCUGGGACUGAGCAAAAAAAGGCACACCUACAAAUUAAUCUGCUACUCCAGCACCACAGACAGUGUGAUUGGUGUCUCAAAGCAUCUCACUAUAUUAAAAAGCCAUGGUACAGGCUGAAGACCCGCACAAACUUCUAGUCGAAUAAAGGCUCAAGGAGUUAGGCAGACGAGACUAACAUAUUCAACUAAACAACCUCGCUGCUCCCGCCUUCUCUCCACUACUUGGAGAUGCAAAGCGAGGGGGUGGUAGGUUAACAAGGGAAAUGCAUUUUGGUCAUUUUGCUAACAAGGCAGAUGACAUCUGCCCCACAUCCACUCCUACUGCCUAUAACUCUAACUUCUAAUGGUGAAUUAAAAACAAUAAAAGGAUAAGACUUGCUGAAGCAGAGAUUUUUUUUUUUUUUUCCAUUUCUAAGCUUGUUGUCUUCGGACUCAACCAACGCUGACUCGAGUGACAUCACUUCUGACAUCAGUCUUGACACUGCUGAACAUUUUUUAUACAUGCAGAUCUCUGCAACAAGUGGAAACACACUUUGAUGUGUAGAAUUGGUUCUACACAUUGAUGGUUCCCUCUCCUUGUAAGUGCAACCAAUGUUUCUGAUUACUCAACACUGAUGAACAGUAAAUGUGUCAAAUUGCAUUAUAAAUUUUUAUUUAUUAGAGGAGAGACUGAUUUCCUCGGAUUGGAUGGUCAGUGGGCAACAUGGCAACAUGCUGUUUGGCUAGUCAGUUCAGGUGCAGGGUCAAGAUGUGUGCUUGUAACUCGUAGAUUGCAGCUUUUGACUUUGAAGAUCUGAUAAUGCUGCUGGUGAUCGGCUGUAAUGUUACACAUGAUUGCAGCAUGCAGUAAAAAUACAUACAUGGUUACCAUAGAUGUUCUGUGGUUACACCCACAGACGGGGUUCAUGUGUAUAUGUGUUGUGAACUGUAGUUGUGUGUCGUUGAGCCAGUUAAAAAAUGCCACCGGGGUCAAAAGUGCAGCUCCAUUUUAGCAAGAUUGAUGCCAAUAAUGCGCGAUGCAAUAUGUGCAAAAAAGUCAUCAUUGCUAAGGCCAGCAACACAACUCAUUUGAUGAGGCACCUAACCGUGCACAGAAUCAAUUUAAGAGCAGAAAGUUGCUCCGUGUUUGACUGCAAGAAGAGCGGACAGAAGCCAUCCUCCACUCAGCAUUUAAGUUCACCUGUGGAUGUUACAGAGCCCGAGCUGCCUGACUCAAUAUCUCCAGCACCGGUCUCCGGCGUGUAAUGCUAACUUAAGAUAUUAGUGUGUAGCUUUAUUAUAUGCCUAUGUAACUAGCUAAAUCAAAAGCUAACUAGUGAUUGACAGCAACAGAUAAGCUUAGCUUGUAAAGAUGUGCUCAUCAACUAGGUCGGCUGGUUAAACAACUCACCUAACGUUCACUGUUAUGUUUAUCUUCUCCUCAGAGUAGACACUAUCAGCCAGGAGCGAGCUUGUCUGCAAAGCAGACAUGUUCGUCUUUCUGAAGAAAAACUCCUAAAUGAAAAGGCCCUCAGUAUGUAGCGGGUUAAGUGAACAACGUGGACUGAGGACAGUGGACAGCCCCAGAACGGUGACCUCCACUCUACAAACGCUCCAUAAACUCAGAGAUGACAUGUCCUACAGCCCGCAGCCUCAAGCAGAUGAGGCACCGGCAGGCAGAUUCAGAGUCCGAUCGAGAGCAAAGGCAGCUAGCUAACACAUCAAGCCCUGGAAGAGCUCUUGUACUCCAGUCAACAGCACAUGCUGCGUUCAACCCACAGGAGCUGAGAAACCGCCUGCUGAGCCGGGGCCCUCCGGAUACGGACAGGAUGUGUGUGUACUUUUUUACAACACCGAAUGUAGAAAGGCUACUGUACUCGCUGUACAGGAGGUUCCUAUCCUAUCAUUGUGAUCAAUGUUAAAGCAGACUACCUCCCCCGACUCACUCCUUACGCCAUCAUUCAUUAUUCACCGUCCUUGCACAUGAGCUGCUGAA